GACCACUGGUGCCCAGCUGAAACAUGCACUGGGACAGCCCUGUCAGGGGAAAUCUGAUGGAAGGGAAGAAGAAUGGCCAAAUACAGAAGCUUCAUCAACAACGACAAGCCUAUACCAUUUCUAAAUUCUACUCUUUGUAUUGGGCACUAUAUAGGACGUGACACAGCUUUAUGUUGUUGCCAUUUUGCUAAUGUUUGCGGGCUUUUGCAGCAGGAACGGCCAGUAAAAGCAGAUGAGUACUGCUGUGUGUAUCCUGAAGUUCAACAAGUCUGAGCUCUGGCAGACCAAGUACAUGGUGGAAGAAAUUUCCAGGCAUGAAUUCCUGACCAAAAAUUCCCCAAUGCUAUCCUGCUUCUGAUUAAACAAGAGGACUGUUCAUUCAAGCACUCAAUGAGGCAUCACCCAAGAAUGGAGGCAAUCUCUCAGGUACCUAGAUCCAUCACCAAUUAUGGAGGCAGCUCUUGGCACAGAUUGGGGCUGUUGGCAACAGUGCAACUAUAUGCAGAUGUGCACACUGAAAUUUUUUUUUAAGUAGCAGUAUUAUUUGGAUUUAAUUUUCCUAUACAUUUGGCAUAAAAUCUCCAGCCUGAUAUACAAAUUAGUGUCAGUUGCAUAGAGGAAAACCAAGCUAA